rnacentral:rRNA from 1 species
GAGUACCACGGGACACGUGAAACCCUGUGGGAAGCAGGAGGGACCACCCUCCAAGGCUAAAUACUACCUAGUGACCGAUAGCGUAUAGUACCGUGAGGGAAAGGUGAAAAGAACCCCGGGAGGGGAGCGAAAUAGAACCUGAAACCCUGCACUUACAAGCUGUGGAAGCACAUUUCUUGUGUGACCGCGUACUUUUUGUAGAACGGGCCAACGAGUUACGU